rnacentral:sRNA from 2 species
CAGGAGAGGCAAAAUACAGGCAGUAACCGUGGGAGCUUUUCUCACAUGGGUCCCCUCUGUGUGCCUCAACCCUGACCCGGGGGGACUCCCUCUAGA